rnacentral:tRNA from 1 species
ACCUGGUGGCUCAGUUGGUAGAGCCUGUGACUCCUGAUCUUGGGGUUGUGAGUUCGAGCCCCACACUGGGUA